rnacentral:rRNA from 1 species
CCCUUAGAUGUUCUGGGCCGCACGCGCGCUACACUGAUGCAUUCAACGAGCCUAUCCUUGACCGACAGGUCCGGGUAAUCUUUGAAUCUGCAUCGUGACGGGGAUAGAUUAUUGCAAUUAUUAAUCUUCAACGAGGAAUGCCUAGUAGGCGCAAGUCAUCAGCUUGCAUUGAUUACGUCCCUGCCCUUUGUACACACCGCCCGUCGCUCCUACCGAUUGAAUGAUCCGAUGAAUAUCAUGGAUUGAGGAUGCAAGUAGGUUCGCCUAUCUUCAUCUUCGAGAAGUGAAGUAAAUCUUAUCAUUUAGAGGAAGGAGAAGUCGUAACA